UGUGGCCAUGGUUUUCCCUAAGAUAGUAUCUUUACAGUAUUAUAUGGUCAAUUCAAGAAUUCAUUUAACUUGCCUUGCCAAAAUUUUGAUUGUGAGUUGGCUGAAUGCUGUCAUCAUGAGAGGGUGAACACCAACAUGUUUAAAUCUUGCAACCUCUUGAUGAAUAUAUCUCAUUGCUCUAUUCCUUUUGCCCAGGGAGUUAUUUAGAAGGGGAGUUCAGUUACAACCUGUCCAA